rnacentral:tRNA from 1 species
AUGUGGCUCAGUGGUAGAGCACCUGCCUGGCAUGCAAGAGACCCUGGUUCCAUCCCAGUAU